rnacentral:rRNA from 1 species
UACGAAGGGGGGCUAGCGUUGUUCGGAUUUACUGGGCGUAAAGCGCACGUAGGCGGAUUGUUAAGUCAGGGGGUGAAAUCCCGGAGCUCAACUCCGGAACUGCCUUUGAUACUGGCAAUCUUGAGGCUGGAAGAGGUUAGUGGAAUUCCCAGUGUAGAGGUGAAAUUCGUAGAUAUUGGGAAGAACACCAGUGGCGAAGGCGGCUAACUGGUCCAGAUCUGACGCUGAGGUGCGAAAAGCGUGGGGGAGCAAACAGG